UAUGCAGAAUGUUUACAGACAGGUCUGGAUUUCAUUGCUUCAUACGUGAACAGCUGCAUCAAACCCCACCAGAUAUACACAGACUGUGCGUCGCUCUGAUAAUGGGACGGUUGCAUCCGUCGGAAGGUUCUGCUCCUGUUCGACAUGGAUCGGUAGAUUGGGCACAAUGUCUUAUUGGAAGACAGACAGAAAGACGGCGUCCUCUGCUCUUCUCAUCUCCCCCUCCACCUCCUCGUUCUCCUCAUCGUGUGUCUGUGAGGCUAUCACUAUGGCAACCUCACCGAAGGCAGAAGGGAAGUGUGUGUGUGUGUGUGUUUGGGGGGUUGGCGUAGUUCAGACAAAUAAGCAUUGCAGGGCUCAUUUAUUCAUUUUUGGUUAGCUGAAAAUGUGAACAUGAAAGGUCAAAUAUGCUUGUGUUUGCAUAUUUGUUUUGCACUUUUGUUUACAGCAGGCGUUCAAUAUGGAAGGUAUGAAAUAAAAGGUUUGUUUUGGUGAAUGAUGAAACGGAACAAAACAUAUGGCACUGAAAUUGCUCCUUGUUUCUGUUAAGAGAAAGCCUUGAAAUAUUGCUAUUAAUUUUUUCCGCAUUGCUCUUUGUUUUAUGAAGAAUAUGCCACUUGCUUUUGUGCAAUAAAUGUAGUUUUUUUUAUUAUU